UGAAAAAUUCCUCAAGCACCAGAAAACUGCUCAUCUUUGCUACAGCCUCAUUCUACUCUAAUGCUGUGCUAAUUUGACAGUAGAGAACAUCACGUUGAACCUACCUUUGGAAAGUCCAAAGUAUUUAUUUUGCACCCUGAAAUCCACCUGUAAAAUUAUAUCCUUCUUGCUUUCUAAGCAACUUUCAACUGGGAAACCUGCAUAAUGAUGGCUUCAGGGACACACACCUGAUGAACUCAAAUAACAGUCACAUUCAGCCACCAGCAAAACAGCUGCAGCAACAGAAAAAUCAUCCUGCUCAGAGAUGCAACAUCUCCCAUUUCCAUACCUUGUACAGGAUGCACUCACAGAAAAAUGCACAUACACCAAGCUCCUUAACAAAACAGACAGUAACCACUGUUAUCUAAAGAAUUUCCAAGGAGAGACUAAGCCACAAGAAAUAAGUUUCCAGUAGCUUCCAGACAACAGCAAGCAAAUAACAAGCUGUCACUGUUAGCAGCUCUGCAGGACUUGUGUGAACAGUGUCAGUCUGCAGCAAUGACAACACAGAUUUCUCUUGUGCCACCAAAUUCAACAAAAACAGCUUCAUGGAGGUACAGAAAAACUGAAGGACAUAACCAAGUACUCAGUCACCACCACAGAAUAACCGGAGCUGUUUUCACAGGGGUUGCAAGUAGAAAAAUACUGAUGUCACAUCAUCGGCUCGAUGACAUUUCGCGUUACUCACAUGGUUGAGAAAUUUGCUGUCUUUGGUAGCCCAUCCUAUUUGCAUCACUCCCGAAGUGAUGACUGUAACUUCGUAGUACCAGACCCCGGAAUCGACACAGAACGUGCACCUGACGCUCUCAAAGGACGAGGCGUCACAUCGAGCCUACCAAAAACCAAACCAAACGUUCAGCUGCUGCAAAACGAGCACUCAAGAGAGCCUCUUUUCUCCCCCUGGCUCGAGUUUCUUGCAUGUAAGAAUACACCAACAUAAUUUUAGAGGCACUUCAGACAAAGUGACCUCUCUUCAUAGCAGUAAUUAUCACAAAAACUAGUGAGUAGGCAAGACUGAAAAUCGUUCGGUGGUUAAGCCACAGGAAAAAAGAAAAGUAGGAGGUUGACAAAGUCAAUUUAAAGAUUUAAAGACUGAGACAACCAAGACAGGAAGACUUAAAACACUGGUUUAUUAGCUGACUUCUGAUAUGAAGGACAAGGAGGUAAUUCAAUGUUAAGUCAUGAAAAUUCAUCUCUUAAGUAGUCAAGCAAGUUUUUAGAAGGAAUUACAGAGGGGGGAAAAAAAAACCCCACAUGGCUGAGACAAAAAUCUGAUGCUCUUUUCAAGACUAAA